rnacentral:lncRNA from 1 species
GUUUUAUGUCUGGAUGAGGAAAAAUAAACAUUCAGACUUCAUGAGUAAAUGUCAAAGCAUAAUUCUUACUGAUAUUUUGUAAGUUUUAUGUCUGUUUUUAAGCUUAAAUUUCAUUAUUAAAACAUUAUUUUCACUUCUAUUUGUUGUGCUUUAGGAAACCAGGUUACUCAUGAAGGACAUGGGUAGGGAAACAUUAACUUUAUUCUCAAACCGAAUGUUGACAUAUGACGUCACGUCGUGCUUUUUUUUUUCCACCGUGUGAAUGUGAAUGAUUGUGACACGCGCGUUAAAAGCUGCAUAAACCCGCUUCCUCAAUCACGCGAAAGCAGUUGAACACCUCAGAGGGAGCUGAGGUUACGUGUGCAGUCGCGGAUUCAUGAGGAUUGAACGUGGGUUGACACAUUUCUGAUUUGAGGUAAACGCAGCGGUUUGGUGGCAGCUUACCUUGGGGAAAAGUUCUCGGCUGCUGGAAGGCGUUUGUUUUUAUUGACCAGGAUGAAACAAUCAAAAAGUGCACUGGAAGUGAUUGACUUGAGCUUUCUGUCUGCUGAGGAAGAGGCAGCCAUCCGUCAAGUGCUUCUGAGGGAUGAAGAUUUAAAACGACUGGAGAGUGGACGAGUCAGGAAACUGAGGCAGUCCGUCCCUGACCUUACGCAGCUGAAGACCUUAUCAGGUGAGUGGUUUGAAGAGCUCAAGGUCAAGCGAUAUGGACAGCAGACGGAUGUCACAGCAGUGGUGAGGUCCUCCAUGAGAUGGAAGAAAACAGCAGCUCAUAAACCCAACCCAUUCCUGAAUGAUACACUGGAUGAGAACAAAGCACAUGGAAAGGAGGAUCACGGCACACUUUCAAAACCGUCACCUGACCCUAGAUUAAUUCAUCCAGCCUUUAGUAAAGAGGUUUGUCUCAUUUUAUAUAUUUUAUUUUUCUGUGAAUAUUUAGAAUGUAAGACCAGAAUUUUAUUUUUUACUUGA